CACAAAUGAAAAGAUGCAGGUUGUUUAAUUUGUGGGCAAAGACUACAUACAGGUGGGAAGAAUAAAUCCUCUUUUGCAACCCAGAGAACUCAUCGUUCAGUAUGAGUUUUGAUACAUGUAAGAAUGAACGUA